CCAAUCCCAACAUGAAGAUUCUUUAUCUGCUGUUCUCAUUCCUUUUCCUUGCAUUCCUGUCUGAACCAGGUAAUGCAGGGAGGGACUGCAAUAAAAAAGGAGGAUUCUGCCGUUGUCAUCAAUGUCCAAAAGAUUUUUGGAGUAUUUGGCCACAUGAUUGUAAGACGGGAGAACUAUGCUGUACUCCCACGUUGCCAGGAUUUAAAGCCAAACAACAACCAGGAAUUAAAGCUGCCAAGUGACCGCUGAAAAUGAUAUCAUCUCCAUCUACAACCCUGGAUGUCUUCAAGAUAUGUCCAAUGACCUGAGAUUACUACCUGCUAUCGCUUUUUCUUUCUUUACAUUAAUCAAACUGCUAUCUAUCAAACUUGAAAACAUUUAUGCAUUGAAGUAAAAUUUGGCAAAGUCCUUGAAAUAAAGCUAAA